CGCAGUCGCGCACACAACCGUUUAACGCAUUCCUUUAUUGGGAGUACGCUCGCAAGAUUAAACCUCAACGUAACUGACGGGGCCAUGCACAAGCGGUGGAGCAUGUGGUUGAAUUCGAAGCAACGCGCAGAACCUUACCACCCCUUGACAUGUCGUGCCAUCCGGAGAGAUCCGGGGUUCCCUUCGGGGACGCGAACACAGGUGCUGCAUGGCUGUCGUCAGCUCGUGUCGUGAGAUGUUGGGUUAAGUCCCGCAACGAGCGCAACCCACGUCCUUAGUUGCCAUCAUUCAGUUGGGCACUCUAGGGAGACUGCCGGUGAUAAGCCGCGAGGAAGGUGUGGAUGACGUCAAGUCCUCAUGGCCCUUACGGGAUGGGCUACACACGUGCUACAAUGGCGGUGACAGUGGGACGCGAAACCGCGAGGUCAAGCAAAUCCCCAAAAACCGUCUCAGUUCAGAUUGCACUCUGCAACUCGAGUGCAUGAAGGCGGAAUCGCUAGUAAUCGUGGAUCAGCAUGCCACGGUGAAUACGUUCCCGGGCCUUGUACACACCGCCCGUCACACCAUGGGAGUUGGUCUUACCCGAGCGGCGCUGCGCCAACCGCAAGGAGGCAGGCUUAUCUACGGUAGGACUUAGGACGGCAG
rnacentral:rRNA from 1 species